UGCGGCGCCCCUCCAGUUCUCUAGCAGAGCCCGGUUGGAUGUGAGCGUGCGUUGCACAUCGUUUCCCUGGAAGCGCAGUGAACCACCUUUCGGUUUUUCCUGUUGGGAGUGCCUUUGGGCAGUGAGCCUUAGGAUGAUGACUGGUCGAAUGCUCUGGUUUUUCUUCAAUUAAGCACUGGUCCAAAACAUCCCUCUCCUUUAUUUCAAAGGACAGGUGAGAGAGAGAAGGACAGGAGCAAGUGAACCAUGGAAAGAAAGUGGGGGAAUGGUCCUGGAUCCCAGCAACAAGGAAGGAAAUAGACCUCCCAGGGCCUGGAAGGAUGCCAGGCCCAUAGUAAGGACCCAGUAAACACUUGCUGAGGAAAGGGAUAGGAGACUUCUGUGGGCCCGCAACAGAACCAUCUCACUUCUCUAUGACCUCUCCCCAGAUGAUCUGAAUCUGAUGGCUCAAGAACUCACUAGACAACUGCUACCUUGGUACAACUUCCUGAGGAGUGAUUUUCUGCACAGGUGAUUGACAGGCCCAUUUGGAUUGACUCUUCAGAGAGAGGAAAAUGAACAAGAUUUAGAACUCUCAGCUCCUUCUCCAGCACCAUGUCUGCCUGCAUGCUGCCAUGCUUCUCGCCAUGACGAUAACGGACUAAACCUCUGAAACUGUAAGCUAGCCCCAAUUAAAUACUUUCCUUUAUAAGAGUUGCUGUAGUCGUGGUGUCUCUUCACAGCAACAGAAACCCAAAUUACCUCAGAACACAGGGAAGGGACUGCAGCAGCCACUGUUACUAAAGCAGUAAAUAUGUAAAUAUCUUGCUAUUGUAGUUAAUACUGUGAUCAUACCUGUGUCUACAGAUUGACUGGCAGCCUUCUUGUCAUGGUACCUACUUUGGUCCCAUAUAGUUUGGGACAUUGUUUUAGGUCUGGGUUUUAGUGCUGCAUAUCCCAGGUUCCAAGAUUCUUAUUAGUACUACCCACAAUAUCAUUGCAGUAGCUGUGGUGUCUACAGGUGAGGUCACCUUUGUCUGUUUUUUGUUUGUUUGUUUGUUUGUUUGUUUUUUGUUUUUUGAGACAGGAUUUCUCUGUGUAGUUUUGUCCUGGAUCUCACUCUGUAGACCAGGCUGGCCUCGAACUCACAGAGAUCUUCCUGCCUCUGCCUCCCGAGUGCUGGGAUUAAAGGCGUGCGCCACCGCCGCCGCCGCCGCCGCCGCUGCCGCCGCCGCCGCCGCUGCCGCCGCCACCACCACCACCCAGCUUGUCUGGUUAUUUUUAAUCUCAUCAUCCAUGUCUGUGUAUGGUGUUAACCUAUUCAGAGAUUUUCUGACCUAAGCAGGUGGAUAAAGGCUAAUGUCCUGCAUCUUUCCUGGGCAUGCAUUCCUGAAUAUCCUAAAUACUUCCUGGGCAUGCAUUGCUGAAUAUCCUAAAUACUGUCAUCAUCUGCCUGAUGAUUUUCUCCCUAGAACUGUAAAUGUCCUCAGGGCACAAGUUCCAGUGACUGACAGAGAAUGGGCAUUCCACCAAUUUGAAAGGAAUCACAUAGCUAGACAGAAGCCAACGGAUAUAGGUAAGCUUGGCUCUUCUGAUGUGCUAAGAAAACUACAUAUCACUUCCAGCUUGGUAUUUGUCCCGCCAUCCUGUGUGAAGAGAAAAGCCCUAAUUUUAGUUUUCCACUGUGAGGCAAGGCCUAGUGCUGAGACAAGCAGAAGACUAAAACUCAGUAAUUACCAUGUGGCUUCUAAUUAUGCAUUUACUCAUUCCUUUAUUUAAUUAAUGGAAUUACUUAAUUAAUUAAUUUUAUUCAUUCCAUUAGCCAAUCAUUCCAUUAAUACCCUGUUUUCCUUUGAGACCGAUGAUGUGCCUGGACCAGUCCAGCCACUGGGGAUACAUACCAUGAAGAAUGAGAUGGACAAGGGCCCACUUCUCGUGGGGUCUGGGAUGAUACUCACUAACCAAGCAUAGAGAACUUCAUCUCAGGAUCGAGUGGCACAUUGGCCAAAAAAUAAAUAAAUAAAUAAGAUAGUGUUUCUAGAGUAUGUGUGGAGGAUGAAGGGAAACGAGUCUUUGGAAUGAGUGGUCUGGAAAAAUCUCUGCAUGGAGGUGAUAACCAAAGCUGAAGCCUGAGUGACUGAAAAAAAAUACAGCGAGUUGGAAAUUUCCACACAGAGGAAAUGGCUGGUACAGAAGUCCUGAGGCCAGAAGAAGGCUUCUGUGCUUGAGGAGCAGAAGGCAGGGGGCUCUGCAAGAAGUGGAGGAAUGGGCCUACUGAUGUCUUUAUUCCUCUCCUCUGUGUUGGUGUUAUCAGAGACAUUUGCUCCUCUUCUUUUAUGGAAAUAUCCUCUUUCGGACUCUAUACCCCCUGAAAAUAAACCCCAAAUUUCCAAAAACUACAAAGGAAACUUUUUUUUUAAUGUUCUACUUAUUUAGAAACAUGAGCCAACUUUGUAACUACAAACUAAACCUAUCUAAUAAUCUCAAAGGUCAGCCAUCUAUUAUUUUUUCUAUGAAAAGCCAGAUAGUGUAAAUAUUUUUCAUUUUGCAGACCACAAGAUACCUGCUGAAAGUACUCCACUCUUCCUUGUGGAAGUAGUCAAAGGUAACUUGUGAAUGAAUGGAUUAUGGCUUGUCCCAAUAAAACUUUAUUUACAAAAACAGACAGCAAGUAGGAUUUGGCCCCUAGACUGGAGUUGGUCACUUAUAACCAACUUCUAAUGAUAAUUAUUAUUUUAAAAGAUUUUAUUUUUGUUAAUUUAGUACUUACCAGGGCCAAGAAAAACAAGGCCUUUGGGGAGUAUUCCUGUGAUCUGGAAUUGAGCGGAUGCACUGAACCAGGCAUUGCCAUGAGGGUGCCCCUGAAUGGAACUUCAGUGACUAUUUGUGAUACUAUUCUAUUGAGAUGUUUUUCAGACUGCGGUAUCAUUAUUGUUCUGUUUGUUAUUUUAAGACAGAGUCUCAAGAUGUAUUCUGCUCUGGCCUGGAACUCAUUGUGUAUCCCAUCUGACUUCAAACUUGCAGCCUUUUUCCUGUCUCUGCCUCCCAUGUUCUGUGGACCACCACAACCAGCUCAGUUAUUUAAAUUAUCACAUUUUUUUCUACUACCAAGCCAAAGCCAUUUUUUUUUUUUUACCCUUUGCAGUGGACUGGUAGCCAUCUACCAUCAUAAGUAGCUAUACCACGUACCAUGAAAGAGAGAGCAAACCUCAGAUGGAAUUAUGCAAAACAUGUAUAAGCCAGCAAGUGUAGGCAUGGGCAUGCAAGCUUUUCCUGAAAGUCUGCAAGAUCCUGUUUUUAACUCUUGUGAAGGUCAGUCUUGAUUGUCAGUUUGAUUGGCUCCGUAAACACCUAGGGAACUGCUGGAGAGAUGGCUUGGCAGCUAAAAGCAUUGGCUGUUCUUCCAGAGGACCCAACUCUAAUCUGAAAAACAUGGUAACGCACAACUGUCUGUUAACUCCAGUUCCAAGGGAUCUGGCGCCCUCUUCUGGCCUCCAUGAUCACUGCACACAGGUUGUGUAUAGACAUAUAUACAGACAAAAUAUCCAUACCUAUAACAUAAUAUAAACUUUUCAAAAAAAAUAUUCAAAAGAAGCAUCUAGGAAAAUAGUUAAACAUGCUGUGGGUGUUACCUGUUAAGCAUUCUCAAAGAGAACUAAAUAGGGGAGGCAUACCUGUCCUGAAUGGGAAUGCUACCAUUCCAUAGGCUGGGAGCCUGGAAUCAAAGGAAGAGGAGAAAUCCAGUGAGGAUGGGCAUUCUGUGUGUCUGUUUCCUGGCUGCCAAAUAUUGACUGCUCUGCUUUACCAUGUUUCAUACCAUAAUAGGUUGAAACCACAAGCCCAAAUAAAUCUUCUCCUAAGUUGUUCAUUUAGGUAUUUUCCACAAGUUGAUGUCUAAGUCACUUAGACUAGACAGCAGCUCAAGAAAAGUUCCUAUGAAGCAGAUUCCCAAUGAUUCCACAGUAGGGCUUAGCUUUUUCUGUCUGGAGUAGCAGCAAAGCCCUGCAGUGAGCCCAGGGCACCAUGAUGAAAGGGGUAAGGAUUCAUGCUCACUGACUUCCUGAGUCCACCACACAGGGCAAGUAGGUCUGCAUAAAAUGCAUGCCCAUUCCAAGGUUCUCAAAUGCCUUCUACUAGUGAAAAUAUAAGGCCAUGACUUAAUAAAAAGUUUCAUAGCUUAUAGCAGCAUUCUUGAAGUUUGCAUUCCUGAACAGAGCUUUUGCAUGUUGACAUUUUAGUGCUGUGCUAAAAGCAACCUACAUGUAUACAUUAGAGUGUGUGUUGAGAUAUUUUAAAUUACACAAAGUACAAUGCACUUCUCUUCUUUUGUAAUUAAUCCCAUUUUUUUUUUCAGUUUCUUGUUCUGGACCUCUUAAGUUGAGAGAUGUAGUAAAUUUUAUGACUUUAUUUUUAAUUUGGAUAUUGUGUCAAUAUAUUAUAAGUAAUUAUUAUAUUCCAAAGUCUAAAACAAUCCUUAACUGUUCUUCUUCUUACAACUGUAUUAUUAAAAAAAAAAAAUACCUCUACCUCAGUAAGUAGUUCCACCAAACUAAUUCUAUAUGACAGGUGAUGGUCUGUAACACAGGCAUGCCUAAGCCAAACACAGGAGAUGCACUGACCUCAUAAAAUCUUUCAAGCAUGAAAAUUUGGGAUGUGGCUUUCAUCCAAAUGUAGGACAUGUGAAAAUUAAAAAUAAAAAAAAAUAAAAAAAAUAAACUUCCUGUUUCAAACUCAGCAGGUGAAGGUGCUUGCUGCCAAGGCUGAUGAUCUGAGUUCAAUCCCUGGGACCCACAUGGUUAAAGGAGACAGCUGAUUCCUGGAGAAGCUACAAAGUGAUAGACCUGUACGGUAGUGAAAAUGUGGGAUCAUCGGUGCCUGUGUACUGUGUUUACCAUCAUUUGUCUUCCACUCAGCCAGUGGGGUCAUAUUUGUCUGGAAAAAAAAGAGCGAACCUUGCACCGGUUCAGCAGAAAGAAGAGUCCAAGGAAUCACAGGCUCUGUUGUAAACUAGACAGCUUUCUAAGAGAUUAGCAAGAUCCAGGAUGAAACGGUUGCCUCUAGAAGCUUGAACGCCAUCUCUGGAGUAUCCAGUCACAAUCAGAUAUGAGGAGGAAGCAGAAACAUGAAGGCAGAGGAAACGACUAGAAUAAUAAACACUGGAAACGGCGAGUAUUAAAGAACCGGAGCAACUGGAAAUGUCCCUGACCCCUGCUGGGAGUGGGACAGUAGAGCCGGCAUGGAGAUGGGCAGUUACAGUAGGGUUAGCCUAGGUCUUCCCUGUCUUCAAGCAAUUCUAUUCCUAGGAUCAGACACAGAAUUGCAUACACAGGCUUUGUCAAGGACAUUCAUGAGUUAUUUCUACUGACUAUUCCUAGCAGCCCAAAGGGGAGACCCAGGGCCCAAGAGUGGAAUGGAUAAAGAAAGGCAAGUAUAUUCACACAGUGGCAUACUACUCAGGAUUCAAGGUUUUCUUUGUGAAGACCACAUAGCAUUUUCAGCCUCGCACACCAUAUGUCUCCACUUGAGCUGCUCAGUUCUGUCAGUGUUGGGCAAGAGCAGCUACAGACAGACAUAUACAGAAAUACAUGGGCAUAGAUCUUUCAGGAAAACUUUUCAAAGCAGAUGGCAUACAUGGUGUGUUCCCUUUUUUGAAAAGUCUUUAAGGUGCAGGGUUAUAAUGUAUGUGAAUAUGAAAAGAUUUAUAGUUGUUUAAAGCAGAUCUUUAAAGCUGAGCAUGGUGGUAUACAGCUACAGUCUGAGCCUUUGGGAAGCUCAGGUAAGAAGGUUGAGAGUUUGAGGCCAGCCUAGGCUAUGGACUGAGCUCCAGGCUAGUUCUAGUUCAUAGCUAUUCUAGGCUGUAGGGCAAGCCCUGUCUCAAAAAAUUCAAACAAGCCAAAAACAGUUCAUAACAAGUUUUUUAAAUAAAUAAGGACUGAGAAUUGGCCUGAGAGAUUACUAUGGUUUAAUGACUAGUCUCAAAUCAAAGAUAACAUCAUACUGGAGCUGAGCCUCCUUCUGGUAAGAAAAUUCGUAACUAGUGAGUAGUUCCUGUGUGCAAGGCACUCCCAAUACCUACUCCUCAUAAGAACCAAGAGAAGUAAUUGUUAUAUGCAUUUUUAUAGAUUAGAAGUGGAGGCCAAGAGAAGUGAACUUAGCCAGGAUCACUAGUCAGCAGGAACAGUGCUACUGUUUGAGCCCAGAUCAGUCUGAUAUUGACCCGAUUCUCAAGCUGCCUCUGCAGGCUUUAAAUGCAAACAUGGGAUCUUAUAUCAACGGUAUAAAAAUAAACCAUAAGCUCCACCCCAAGAAAUACUAUCCAUCUAUCACUGGGUUCUCCUGCUAGCAGCCAAAUCUGCCUAGGCUCUGCCUGCUGCCUAUGGUAAACACUGGCACAGCUCGGACACAGGCUAGUCACUGACUUUACUCUUUGAAGCAAGCAUGGGAAGGGUAUGGAGAGAGCAAAAUAGAACAGGAUCCCGAGGAAUGCCAUUUCCACAGUUGGUCAGAGCAGAAAGGCAGGUAUGCUGAAGUGGAGGAGCCUGUCAUAUGAGGCCAGUCCAGAAGGGGCCCCCAAACACACCCCUUUGGGAGUCACCUGCCAUCCAGUAACAUUACCUCUUGGACUCACUCCGUCACUUCCCCUUCUUGCUCCCAACACCUCUCUUCUUAUAAGAUAGCAGUAUCUUCCUCAUUGAAGGGGACCCCCAAACAGUGGAGCUUCCUCCUGGACUCUGGAUGAAAAAAACAAACACACCCAAACACCUGUUUUCACAGAGAGAGUCUUUAUUAAGCGGGAAAGAAAAGUUAAAGUGACUGCUUUCUGACUCAGCCGAAAUGACGUUGCAGGUGUAAUGUUUAAGAAGAGGAGAAGGGGAGGUCUGUGUUAGAAUGAGCUAGGAUGUGGUAGUAAAGGAGAUAGGGGGUGAGGGAGAAGGGGACAAGAGAAAGGGGGAAAGGGUAUUUGUCCCAGAGGAACAAAGGACUGCCUCUGGACAGAGGGGAGGCAGACGUGGCACAUAGGCAAAUGGAGGCUUAUAAAGGUAAAGAGGGAAACCUGUGUUACAACAAGAUUUUUUUUUUUAUUUUAAUUGGGAAUGUUAAUUAAGUGAACCAAAAGGGGGUUUUGAUUGCUGGACUUUGGCAGUCAGCCUCAGAAGGAGGUAGUGGCCAAAUAAGGGAAUAGCUAGCUUUAGGAAUGUAAUCUAAUAGGUUUUUUUUUUUUUUUUUUUUUAGUGUUCUGCUUGCAUGUAUGCCUGCGGGCCAGAAGAGGGCACCAGAUCUCAUUAUAGAUGGUUGUGAGCUACCAUGUGGUUGCUGGGAAUUGAACUCAGGACCUCUGGAAGAGGACCCAGUGCUCUUAACCUCUGAGCCAUCUCUCCAGCUGUAAUCCAAUAGUUUUUAGCAAGGGAGAGGGAAUGGGGGAGAAGGGCAAGGCCUGCCAAAGCCACAUGCUUGUGUGGGCUCGUGUCCCUUUGCCCAUGUAAUUCAGAGAACUGCAUAGGUUGAAGGUCUGCCUUGUUAGGUUUGAGGACUGUUGUGUGACAAAAUUUUUCCUGGGGAGACACCACACACACACACACACACACACACACACACACACACACACACACACACACCUGCUCACCCCAGAUAGAGAACCCAUGACAGAUACUACCAAAGUCCAACUUGGUGAACCAAUGAGUUUUACUGGGGUCACUUAGAGGAGUAUGGGUGAGGGGUUACUUACAGGAGCAGAAAUGACUCAGGCAUCUGCAUCAACAAAGGCCACCCCAGCUUUAGUGACAGCUCACAAAACUGGAAACCUGGAGCACACUGCACAGCUUGCAGGCAGCUCAGUAUGUUGGAGAGUGUCCUUUCCAAGUGAGUAUUCAGCUUGGCUGCUCUCUGCUAAUUCCAGGCAGCUGUUCUGGUUUCAGACUCUUUUACACAGCUUAGCUUGGCAGAGAGUGACUCCCAGCAGCUUGACUUGCUUACUCUGGGAGGGCGGGGCCUAGUGAAUCUGGUCAGUUUCAGGGACUUCCUGAAGCUAUUUUGAGUAGUUUGCCUUCCCUACAGGAGGAAAUGUUUCAAGCUUGGAGGAAACUGUUACACAACAGGGCAAAUUUCAGUGAGUUAUCAGUGGUUUAAAACCAGGAGAUUUGUUCAUCAUAGUGGUGCAUGCCUUUAACCCCAGCACUAGGGAGGCAGAGGCAGGAGAAUCUCUGAGUUCUAGGUCAGCCUGGUCUGCAGAACAAGUUCCAGAACAGCAAGGGCUGCACAGAGAAACCCAGUCUCAACCCCUCUCCCCUGAAACAGGAGAUUUACAUUAAUACAUGUAUACUACUAAGUGAAAAAAGCUAGUCUGAAAGACUACAUGUUAUGUGACUCAAACUACACCUGAUUUUCUCAAUCCUAUGGUGGUACAAAGUGGUAGAUAUUCAGUAGAUCUCUAUUUCUAAUUCUGAUCUUUUCCUAGACUGGUAAGUUAUGGUUUAACACUUCUGAUACUUGGCAGUAGCAGCAUGCCAUGUUGGUUGUGUGAUUCUAAGAGUGAACAAGCUAUACUCAGUGUUGGGGAGAUGGCUCUACUGGUAAAGUCUUCGCUGUGUAACAUGACGACAUGAGUUCCACUCCCCCAAGUCCCUUGUUAAAAGCUGGGCACGUGUGUAAUCCAAGAAUUAGGAGACAGGAGGAUCCCUCAAACUUAUCCAGCUAGAUUCAAUGAAAGAUCCUGUCUCAGAAGAGAAGACAGAGAGUCAACACUGACCUGAGACCUCUGUAUGUGCAACUGUAUACACAGUCACACACCCACAUACAACUACACAAACAGCUACAGACACCACACACACAUGGGGGUGGGGGACUGGAAAAUAUUAAUGCUAAGCUAGGGAAUAUGGAAGCUUGGAUUAUUAAAUAAACUUUCUAAUUACAAUGAUUUUAACUUAUGACAGAUUUGCUGCAUCAUAAGUUAAGGUGUGUCUGUAGAUAACACUGUGGAGAGGCAAAAAUAUACAACAGGCAAGAUAUCAGGGCAGUCAAGUAUUUGUAGCUGGUAGAGGCUACAGAGAGAAUAGGUAGAAUCCAAUGCAGUGAAACCUUCUAUAUGACAUUGUUAUAGGUAUAUGUUCUCCCACAUUUUUAAAAGUCUUCUAAAACACAAUCCAAAGAAUAAAACCAAAUGUGAACCAUGGACUUCCACUAGUACCACACUAACUUUUCAAUAACAGGAAACUCUGGGGCAGAGAAGGAAUAUCUAAGAACUUCCUUAUUUAUUUUUAAUUUUUCUGGAAUCCUAAAGCUAUUCUUUAAAGUAGUCAUAGCUGUAUAUAUGUAUAUGCUUAUACAUGCUAAUUAUAUAUAUAUAUGUAUAAAUAUAUAAUUUGAAUUCACCAAAAACAAACAAACCAAAACUUGAUCUCUGGUUUCAUGGGAAAAGUCUAACUGUGGCUUUGGGUUCAUGUUCCCAGAUGAUCUGGAUUUAACAUACUCACUUUAUCCCUCUGGAAGUGUAUCUUUUCCUACGGGGCUCCCUCCAGUAGAACAGCCCUGUUUUGGCAUUGCCCACGUGACCCAGUGUUACUCUCCAGUGUCUCCAUCUAGCCUUUGGAGUUUGGGAUCCCGGGGGUAAAGUAUGUAAUUCACUGUGGUGGUCUUCAAGGGAUCUAGCGGCUCUCAAUGUUCCUUAGCGAUCUCCCUGCUCCUGGGGUGUCACUGGGGCCUGAGCAUGGGCAGAGCUGUGGGACCCUGCAGGUCACAUCUGGACUUCCUGGAUAUGAUUUAUUUCAGUAAUGUGGUCCGUGGGUGACAUACCUGUACAGAUUAGUCAAAUGCCGUCCUCUAACAGAGAUGGAAAACUGAGGCUCAGAAAGCAAGCAAAGGAGGUAGCUGUGAGGUGGAGCUUGUGCUGUUUCUUACCCUUCUGAAGUUCUACCAGACACCUGACGUUCCUUUAUUUCUAGUCCUUAGUCCAGAGAAUUCCCAUUUCCAAUGCAAUGACCGUGUGAAAGAGGUUCCUGUUAUGGAACACCCUUUUCUUUUUUUCUUUUCUUUUUUUUUAUUUAAUGUGCAUUGUUUUGACUGCAUGCAUUUCUGUGUGAGGGUGUUGGAUCCCCUGGAACUAGAGUUACAGACAGUUGUGAGCUGCCACGUGGUUGCUGGGAACUGAACCCAGGUCCUCUGAAGAGCAGCCAGUUCUCUUAAUCACUGAGCCAUCUCUCCAGCCCCAGAACACCCCUUUUCAUCUGCUCAGGACUACCUGUCCUUCUACCCUGCUUCUCCAAGAGGCCAUUGAUUCUCAGUCAAGGCCACGAGUUCUAAUUAAAAGGAAGGGCUAAUGAGUAGCAUUAGUCCAUGGAUGCCAUUGCAUAAAAUUCCACUUUCAGAGUGCUCAGCCUUGCUAUGGCUGUGAGGCACUCCUUCCUGUUCUGAAAGGCCAUGGAGGGCUCUUGCCGUGGAGCCAGUCUCAGUGCUUAGCCUGUGGUGCGGAGCAUCCAGUCUGUCAGAGGUGUCACCCCCUCUAAGCUCUCUGAUCCCAACUCACCAGCAGCCCUCUCCUCUUCAGUUUCUCCUGUCAGAUCAGGCCCCUAGGGCAAGGUGCUCCUCCCACUUCCGGCUGCUCCUAAACUCUGACUAGGAUGUCUUCUAUCAUCUCAGUCCCUUUACUUUUCAAUUGGUUAUUUUUUGAGAAUGUCAUGCAUGAGUACCAUAUUUACAUCAUUUCUUCUCUUCCUCUCCUCCCUCUAACUCCUCCCAUGUCCCCUCCACCACUUCUCAAUUCAUGGACUCAUGUAGGUAUGUGUAUACGUAUAUACGUGUGUGUGCAUGUAUUGCAUGCAUGCAUGUAUUUGGAGCUGACUGAAUGGGAUUAAAUAACUAUCAGGUAGCUCACCCCAGAGAAGACUGGCUCUCCCUCUCCCAACAGCCAUUAAUUACCUUCUUCAUGAGACUUCUCCCACCCACAGUGGCAUGUCAACUGAUAAGGUCAUUAUUCAUGUCUGGUUCAAGUAACCGUAUGGUUGCAGUUUCAUGGUGGAGCUUUCCUGUCCAUUUCUAGGAGACAUUCUUAGAGCACACAAGGGAGUAUACUCCCGGAACCUUAGGUGGAGGACUUACGUUGCAGAUGGACAAUUGGGGCUGGGCACUCCACAGCCAGUUCUCUGUAUUCUGACCAGGUGUGGCUUUCUGGAAUGGUUUCCAUCUGCUGCAAAAAGAAGCUUCCUUGACGAGGGGUGAGAGCUGUACUCUUGUGUGGGUAUAAGGCUAUGUAUAUAGAAUGCAGUUAGGGAUUAUGCUGGUUUAGGGAAGUGGCAGUACUUGGUUCUCCUCUAAGCUGAACUGUGCCACAGAGCCCUCAGCAUCCCACAAAGGUUUAUAAUCAGUCAUAUCCAAACGCUGCAGGGAGCUGGCCUUCAUCUUGGUAGGGAAAAAAAUGCUAAGACAGGCAGGCAUAGUGCCAGGCCACACAGGAGGGAGCAGCAAAAGCUACCCCAGAAUUAGGUUGACAAUUCAAAGGAGCUAUCACUUGACCCCAGUCUUGCAUAUCAACUACCUCCUUGUUGGGAGGGGCAUGUUCUCCAUGGAGGGCACAGCAUGGCACAGGCAGAGUAUGACAGAACACUGUGUGUUCGCGGGAAGACUGCCGGCUUAAGGGUGCUGGCGUGCAGCUAUGCCCUGCACAGAGAGACAUUUUCUAACUGAGAAAGAACAAGCUCAUGCAGCUGCUCGGUGGAAGGCAUCAGGAAAGGGGGAGGGCAGCCUAGUAACCCAAUCCUCUUAGCAGAUCAGCCAGCUCUGUGCCACCUCCACUUCUCUGUCCCCAAGUCAGUAGCAACUCAGCAGUCAGGUCAUGUGAAACACACCUGCCAUUUGUCCUGUGCUUGGCUCAUGCUGGCAGUCGUGAGAUCACAUGGGUGCAAGUGUUUGCUUGUCACCUGCUCUUACUGAUGCUUGAUUAGGAUGGGCUGUCUGACUUCUGAGUCUUAUAUACACUCCCAUGUGGCUUGGGCUCUUAUGAUCAUUCUGAGUUAGUGGCAGGGUUGGAAAGACUUUAGAGCAGGCUUUGGGGUGUUGUUUAUUUCUGUUUUAUUUUUAACCAAGGCCCAUGGCCUGAGGAAUCUGUGAGCAUCUCAAAAACUAUGUACAAACUCUUGCUUCUAUGGGUGUUUUCUGAGGAAAAGGCUCCCUAGCUUUCCUCCAAUCCCCCCAAGUACAUAUAACCCUUUAAAUUAGAGAAAUUGCCAAAACAGUUCUCUCCCACAAUGAGACACGGUAUCUUUGGCCAAAGAGCACCAUGCAGUGGGCAGCUGUCAACCUGUGUGAGCAGGCCAAGACUCACUUAGAAACAGACAAGACCUACUGUGGGCUACAGGAUAGGAUGGAACCAAGCCUUGAUCCUUGACAGAACAGAAAUAUUUAGUUUAUCCAUUAUGAUAAGGAAUCUAAUGGGCUUUUCUCAAGCAUUCCGUGUGUGUGUGUGUGUGUGUGUUGAUUUUAUUACCCCUUUUAUUUACCAAUGAUUUUUCUCUAGUCCUAGAGUCUGGAAAUGAAAUACUAAGAAACUAGGGUAACCUGAGGAGUUGUUAUAAAGUGAAAUCAAUAAAUCACUCAUAGUGCCUCUGGUGGAGAUUAGAUGCAUAUUGUGCCAUUCCUAUCAAAGUAAAGCUAACCCCAGGAUCUCAAGAAGGAAGAACAUGUUUUCCACAGAAGCCAUGAUUAUGCCAAAUAAAGCACAGAUUGGGAUCUUUAAAAGGAAACUAAAACUAUGCCUAACAUUACUGAAUAGGCUACAUGUAAGUCCCUCAAUAAUAAAACACACUUUAUGACCAUUUCAGACAUUCAUUCAUUCUAAAGAGGCCAUCAGGCAAGAUCAGGACCCCGGCCACCCAUCUUAGAAGGAAACUGGAGUCCCAGGCAACCUUAACACAAGGCAGAGGAGAAGAGACUGAGGUCCAGCAGUUCCCAAAUGUGGAAACUGAAGUCCAUGGAAAAGGCUGUCAUGUGAUUGGAAUGUUGGGGAGAAGAGGGUCUCAUGAGGCUCUCUUGAGGGCCCUUAUAGUCCCAUGAGCUCCCUCGAUACAUUCACACAAAGGAAUGCUACUCUAGCCAAGCUUGGACAGGUCUCCUACUGGUCAUCAUACCCACUCCUUCAAGAAAACAAGUGGUCAGGUCUCACCUGAAGGGAACAGCUACGUGAUCUGAUCAACAGUUUUCAUCCUUUGAUGGAUAUACAAUUUGAUGACAUUGUGUGUGAUGUCGACCUAAGUUAGGAAGGAAGUGGGUCAGUACAGGACUGCUUAUGAAGGGUCCCCAGCCUUUCUUUCUGGCUCUGUGCUUCUGGAUUGUGUAAGGUAAGCAGGCUUGCUCCACCACAUGCUCCCAGCCAUGACAGUUUAGUUUUGCUUCAAGAUCCACAGGAAUGGAGCCAGCCAGCCAUGGACUGAGAUGUGAACCCAAAGAAAUCCUCCUUCCCUUGUUUUCUCAGGUACUUUGUCACAGUGACAGAAAAUUGACCAAGAGGAAACAUAAAUCCUUGAGGAGCACACGCCAGCUAUACGGAGCAUGAGAUAAUAAGGAAGCGCUGGGCCUCAUGGGAUUAUAGAUGGAGGCAAACUGUAGCAGAUGCUCUACCUCCAGACUCCUAGUUCAUCCAGCUGCAGACAACACACGUCCUUGCCUGCAGUUUGCUCUACUAAUAGAGCCAACUCUGCCUUGCAGGCUGGGAAAGAAGAGGAGUGCAUUUCCUCCUAAAUGGCUGUCAACCGCGGGUGGAGGGCUACGUCAACGCCCAGGUUCUCCAUGCUUUGGGUAGGGAACUCUGAGCUGAGUGUCCACCUUCUUUCUCAGAAUCCUCCUUGCCUGUCUUCCAGAUGCCCACAUGAUGAGGUACUCAGUCACACUCCUUGACAAAGCUCUACUCCUUGAUCUUUCUCUCUGCUAGUCCCUCGCCAGCACUUCCUCAGAUGGUUUGCUAAUGACCUCAGGAAUCAAGCUCAUAGAAACACUGGACAAUCACAGGUUCCUAAUCCCUCCAAGGGUAGUGGAUGAGAAAGAAUCUCUGGCGAGAGUGAAACAUGGAUGGAGCUCGGGGGAGCCUGAAUUUAUACAUGCCUGUGGGGUUUUAUGCUGGCCCCCUGGUAAGAGGCAACAUGAGCAAUUAUCACUACAAGGAGGAUGACACUGUGACUCAGAUCAUGGCCCUGAAACCAGUGUGCAAGUCACUCAACAGUAUCAGAGAAUGUUAGUGUCAAUCUACAUGUUCGAAAUUAAACAGACAAAGCUGUAGUAAAGAUGACUGGAAGUGCUCCUGACAAACACCUAGUUCUUAACUGACUGCUUCCUGCUUCUUGUAUCCAAAAGCUAAAUAAACUUUUUCUUUGUCUCCAGCCUUUUCCAGGAUAAGUCAGCUCAGCCAAGGUACCAGGGCUCCAUGUGUAGAAUCCAACUUCAGGCCUAUAGAACUAGCAUAUAGAACAUAGCAAUGUUCUAGCCUCUGGAAGAUCCCUUCUCUCAGUUAUCCAAGGCCUCAAGAUUCAGAUAUUGGCCACUCAUUGCGGCUGGGAGCCACAUCAAAAACUCCUCACUGCCUUCAGUAUAGUCAACAGCAAGCUCAGGGGAGCUAAUUAGUUAAACAGCAUCAGAUGAAAGGGCUAGGGUACAUCAUCUACCAGAUCUGAUUUAACACAGCUCUGAAUACAUUUCUAAGAGUAAGCUGAAAAGUCAUUAAACUUGAUGUACAUCUUGUCUUCCCUUCUCCCUCCUUCCGUUAUGAGAAUCAGCUUAGUCCGCAUCUUACAAAUGGUCAGUGCAUCAGAAGGUUGGUUUUUUUAAAAAAAAUGACUAAAUGAAAAAAAUAGGACUUGGUAUGUAACCCCACUGAUAGGGUUACAAAUCAAGCAUGCACAAAUCCAUGGGUUCAACCCUCAUCACUGCAUAAGUAGGGUGUGGUGGCACAGGUCUCUACUUCCAGCCAUCAAGAGGUGGAAGCAGUGGGAUCAGAAGUUCAAGGUCAUCCUUGGCUACAUAGCAAGUUUGAGGCAAACCUAGGAUAUAUGAUAACCUAUUCGGAGAGUGGAGGGAGGGAGGGGCAGAGGGCACUAUUAGGUGGUGUGUCCAUGUAGUGGGUAGCCAUUCCAGCUUUGAUCUGGAAGUUCCAACCCCCAUUGAGACUUCGGCAACUGUCACGCCUACAAGGCGGGGCCAAGGGAGGCGCCGGGGGACCCGAGAUCUGGAUCGGCGGGUGCGCUCUCUGUUGCAGGACCCUGGACUGGAGAGGUGGACCGAGCAGAGCUCCAGAGAACACCGCUGGACUGUGAUACACCUUCCCCAGACUCCACGACCUACCUAUUCCUUAAUUUGUAAGUUACGCCAUUAAAUAAAUCUCCUUUUAACUA